UUUUUUUUAUUAUUUUUGUUUAUCAUGAUUUACAUAAUGAUAAUUUUUUAAAUUGAUUAUAGAAAAUCUUGUAUCUUUCUUUUGGAAAUAAAAAGGAAAUUCAUUAAAAUAAUAAAGGGGAAAUUCAAUAAAAAACAGGGAAAUUUUGUAAAAGAAAAUCGGUAAACCUUGAAUGAAAUGAUAAUUAAAAAAAGUUCUUCUAUAAUGAUGCCUAUAUCUGAUAUGACAACAUUGGUCAUUGGCUGGAUGCCUGCGAAAUGAGGGAAAAUGUAUGUAAAUGGAUACUACAGAACAAAAUGUGUAAAAUAGAUUUCCAUAAAAGAUUUUUGUAUUAAACUAUGCUUAAUGAUGUCAAUUUUCAUCAUCAUUUUUUUUAUACCUGUAUAUUUAAAAAUAAAGAAAAAAAUU